rnacentral:rRNA from 1 species
GAGCUGUGAUGGGGAGAAGACAUUGUGUCUUCGAGUCGUUGAUUUCACACUGCCGAGAAAAGCCUCUAGAUAGAAAAUAGGCGCCCGUACCGCAAACCGACACAGGUAGUCAAGAUGAGAAUUCUAAGGUGAGCGAGCGAACUCUCGUUAAGGAACUCGGCAAAAUGACCCCGUAACUUCGGGAGAAGGGGUGCUCUUUAGGGUUAACGCCCAGAAGAGCCGCAGUGAAUAGGCCCAAGCGACUGUUUAUCAAAAACACAGGUCUCUGCUAAACCGUAAGGUGAUGUAUAGGGGCUGACGCCUGCCCGGUGCUGGAAGGUUAAGAGGAGUGGUUAGCUUCUGCGAAGCUACGAAUCGAAGCCCCAGUAAACGGCGGCCGUAACUAUAACGGUCCUAAGGUAGCGAAAUUCCUUGUCGGGUAAGUUCCGACCCGCACGAAAGGCGUAACGAUUUGGGCACUGUCUCAACGAGAGACUCGGUGAAAUCAUAGUACCUGUGAAGAUGCAGGUUACCCGCGACAGGACGGAAAGACCCCGUGGAGCUUUACUGUAGCCUGAUAUUGAAAUUCGGCACAGCUUGUACAGGAUAGGUAGGAGCCUUUGAAACGUGAGCGCUAGCUUACGUGGAGGCGCUGGUGGGAUACUACCCUAGCUGUGUUGGCUUUCUAACCCGCACCACUUAUCGUGGUGGGAGACAGUGUCAGGCGGGCAGUUUGACUGGGGCGGUCGCCUCCUAAAAGGUAACGGAGGCGCUCAAAGGUUCCCUCAGAAUGGUUGGAAAUCAUUCAUAGAGUGUAAAGGCAUAAGGGAGCUUGACUGCGAGACCUACAAGUCGAGCAGGGUCGAAAGACGGACUUAGUGAUCCGGUGGUUCCGCAUGGAAGGGCCAUCGCUCAACGGAUAAAAGCUACCCCGGGGAUAACAGGCUUAUCUCCCCCAAGAGUUCACAUCGACGGGGAGGUUUGGCACCUCGAUGUCGGCUCAUCGCAUCCUGGGGCUGUAGUCGGUCCCAAGGGUUGGGCUGUUCGCCCAUUAAAGCGGUACGCGAGCUGGGUUCAGAACGUCGUGAGACAGUUCGGUCCCUAUCCGUCGUGGGCGUAGGAAAUUUGAGAGGAGCUGUCCUUAGUACGAGAGGACCGGGAUGGACAUACCUCUGGUGUACCAGUUGUCGUGCCAACGGCAUAGCUGGGUAGCUAUGUGUGGACGGGAUAAGUGCUGAAAGCAUCUAAGCAUGAAGCCCCCCUCAAGAUGAGAUUUCCC